rnacentral:rRNA from 1 species
UGGGGAAUAUUGCACAAUGGGGGAAACCCUGAUGCAGCGACGCCGCGUGAACGAAGAAGGUAUUCGUAUCGUAAAGUUCUGUCCUAUGGGAAGAUAAUGACAGUACCAUAGAAGAAAGCUCCGGCUAAAUACGUGCCAGCAGCCGCGGUAAUACGUAUGGAGCGAGCGUUGUCCGGAAUUAUUGGGCGUAAAGGGUACGCAGGCGGUUUAAUAAGUCGAAUGUUAAAGAUCGGGGCUCAACCCCGCAAAGCAUUGGAAACUGAUAAACUUGAGUAGUGGAGAGGAAAGUGGAAUUCCUAGUGUAGUGGUGAAAUACGUAGAUAUUAGGAGGAAUACCAGUAGCGAAGGCGACCUUCUGGACACAAACUGACGCUGAGGUACGAAAGCGUGGGGAGCAAACAGG